GGGGAAGGUUGGUAAGCAGCAUGCAGAGAAAGGUGAAAACUGAAAGUUGAAAUUUAAGGUUGAAGGCAUUAGAAUGAGAUCAAAAGCAGAGAAACAGCUCAGUCACUGAAGCCAAGCCUGACGUUUCCAUACCCCGAGCAUCUGAGACGAUCCUGGGAGAAAGUAACUUAGAGGGCUGCAGAUAUUCUUAUAAAAAUUAAUAGGAAAAACAAUUUAAAAAUUGAAGAAAAAAAGAGAAGAGAAAAAAAUCCCAACAUGACAAUAGCUAGUAGAUGUAUAAGAAGACACUUUAAAUCAUUUGGUAAUGAGGUCACUUAUGUUGAUAGAAACAUGUUCCACUUCAUUUACCAACCAGGGAAUGACUGGUUGAUGAAGCAUGGUGAGCAGGGCUUUAUUCUUGACAGUAGCAUGCAGGAUCUUUGCCUGUAAGUUUGUAUAGUUUGCAUAAAGUGGGAUUAGGCUUAAGCAAUAGUAUUAACUUGGAAAUUUGCAUUGUACAUAUUGGAGGCCACAAAAGUACAAUUUAUACUUUUCUGAAAGGUUUAUAGGAAAAGAUGAAACAAGUAAGAUUAUAAAACAGUGGUUUUGGGAUAGGGUUUGGAGUGAGUGAUGAAGGAAAGAGGAACCAAAGAUGAUUCAGAGGUUUUUAGUGAUUUUAGCUUAGGCAUUUUGGUAGAUGAUGGUGCCAUUCACUAAAAUAAGAAAAGCUGGAGGAAGAACAGCAUUAUGAAGAGAAAA
rnacentral:lncRNA from 10 species